rnacentral:misc_RNA from 1 species
AAACCCUUUAAAUAGCCUACAGCACACAUAUAUACGAAACUACUUCCACGUAACUGCUUCCUGUAUAAGAAUUGAGUUAAAUUUAUGUAUGACAAAAUAGUAUCAUCCCACAUCAUGUGCCUUGCCGAUUACAAAGACUGUAAAAUAAAUGGUAGAAGAUGGCGGUGUGUAGCAUUCGUAUAAUAAUCUAUCUGCAGGUGGCCUGCUACUGUAUAUAUGGGAUUCAUCUUCCCCUCCCAUUUGAAUUUGAGGGAAAUCCUUACGAUGAGGUCAAAAUUAUGGUUUGGGAUGACGGAAGUAGAUUUCGAAGGUCUGCUGAUGAUACCAUUAUUCCUGCUCAGAAUUUGGAAGCCUCGUUUUCAGUUAAACAACAUCCCGUGAAUUUGCGCCUGAGCAGAAACGAUGAUCUCACACCAGAAGUCCCCAUGUACACAGCAAACGAAGAUGGCAUCAUUAAAGAGGAUAUAAAGGAUGAUCACAAAGCCUUUUUCUACCAAGACGUAUCCAAUGGAGCAGCAGUAUUUGUACAAACAUCCCAGUCAUCCUAUUGCUUGUUUGGCAGCUUUUUUAUGGAAAACGAUGAAUAUUUUUUGGAACCAAAUCAAAGAGAGUGCACAGAUUUACUGGUAAAUUCGACCUUCAGAGUAUGGCGAUCCAAUUUCUCCGAAAUCCAGAACAUUGAUAAUAUAGAUAGAGACAUCGUUGAUGACUACGAACCAAUCACUAGAAAAGAGAAUGGGCGUUUUAAGCGAAACGUAGCAGACCUUAAAAUAGAGACUCUGUUUAUUACAGACUACUCCAUCUACAGUUAUUGGUAUCACAAAGUAACCGUGAAAAAAGAGUCAGACAGGCCUCGGACCACUCGCAGCGUCAUCAGACAGUAUUAUGCCUUUGUGAUCAAUGGGAUGGAUGUCCGUUUUAAAAACAUCCCCCCGAAGUCAAGUGGGUUUACUAUCUCAGUGGUAUUUUCUGGUAUUUUUAUUGCAGAUACUGAGGCAAAGUCUCCUUUUACCGAACACCACAAGGUGACCUCUGUAACCCCAAACCAAGUGGAUGCUUUCACUGUCCUAAACCACACGGCUACAUGGCUACAACAGCAGACAGGACUUCCUGGAUUCGAUCACGCGAUGAUGUUUUCACGUUAUGACUUUGCCAGAGGAUCCUACUCCAGGAUUGUUGGAAAAGCGUUUAUAGGAACCAUGUGUACUCCUAAAAGUGUUUCCAUUGUAGAGGACCGUUUCAGUUUCACUAUUCUGGAAGUAGCCGUGCAUGAGCUGGGACAUAGCUUGAAUGCCUCUCAUGAUGGCUACGGCAACCAAUGUAGCCGUGGUCAAUACAUAAUGUCAAGGUAUACUCGCGUGGUAAAAAAACAACCCAAACCUUGGAAUUUUUCAACAUGUUCCAUUCAGUAUUUUGGAGAUCUAAUCGCUAGUUUGGAUGAUCAAGGCCUAAACUGUAUGGCUGAUCUACGAGACGACUUUGACCCAACAGCACUGGUUCCUGAAAUCAACACAUUGCCAGGAACUGUAUAUGACGUAGAUGAACAUUGCCGACACAUCGUAGGGGAAGGGUCAAGUUUUUGCAGACAUUUAUACAACAAAAACAACUUAACUGAUUUAUGCUUAAUAUUGUAUUGCUACAAUACAAAAUCAAUGAAAUGUGUGGGUUACCUAGGCGGAGAUGGUCUUUCAUGUGGAAAUAAAAAGUGGUGUUUGUCAGGAGUAUGUACCUUUUCCGAGUCGGCUCCAACAAAAAACGAAGAAUGUCUGUUUGGUGACGACCCUUACACAUUUCGUUAUGGAAUCAGAACCAUUAAAUGUAAAGGUGGUUAUUACACUGUUCAAAAUUCCCCCGAUUUGUGUUACAUUGGAGAUAUUAGACGUCGCUGUUGUGAUACUUGUUCAUCUGUCCAUACAGGCUUAUUAGGUUGUGAAUAUGGAGAUAGUCGAAAAGGUUGUAGAAGAGACAACAUCAGAAAGAAUGACAACAGUCACACUUCAAAAUACAACGGCGAUAAAGGAAUCUUCGUUGACUCUACACACAGCAAAAGAAGCAACGAUGAAAACAACACUAUCAACCACCGGUUCAACGUCAUCAAUCCCAACUGUCACUUCAUUGCCAGAUAAAGUCAGCACAGCGAAAACCUUAAGCACAUCAACAAACCAAUCAUCGAGUAGUAUCACGACAGGAACGAUAACAUCUUCAUCUGUAUCAUCAACAUCAUCCAGUAGUACUUCAUUACAACCACAAACAACAAUUAGUACAACAACACAAUCACCAAAACCAUUAUCAUUAUCUAGUUCAACAACGAUGCCUCUAACUACAUUAUCUAGUACAAUAACACAAUCAACAACGACAUUACCUAGUGCAACAACGCAACUGCCAACAACUGCAUCUAGUACAACAACACAAUCAACAACAACAUCCAGUACAACGAUACAAUCCCUAAAAACAGUAUCACAUACAACAAAACAGUCACCAAAAGCUGAAUCAAGUCAAAUAACACAACCACCAACAUCUGCAUCGAGUCCAACAACACGACCAUCAACAACUGCAUUUAGUACAACAACACUCUCUCAAGCAAAAUCAUCUGGUACAUCAACAAAACACCUAACAAAAAAAGUGACUCAGAGAAAGAUGAUGUUUCAAAUUUCUUUAAACGUAUAUGAAAAAAAUACUGAGGAGUACGCUUAUGUUGUUGGUGAUUCUAAUAAAACCCUCUUUAGCCUGUACCAAAGACAGCUUGGUGGUAACUUUAGAAAACUUCAGGUGAAGUCUGUCAGACUUGAUCCGCUGAUCAUUGAUCACGAUAUAUUUAUUGAAAAUUCGCCAACGACAUUAGUUGAUGUAGUUAACAUUUUGAAGAACAUAUCUGAUGGGAAAACUAACGUGACGUAUAACGGAAAUGACGUCAAAAUACUUUUCGUUUCCUAUACCGAUUCAACGAAUAAUCAAGUGUUGAUCAACGACAAAACAGACCCUAAAACGGUGAUUGAGGCAAGCUUUGUAUGUACUUCGGACGAGUCAUGUGAACGAACAUCCACCACGAGCAAUGCUGACAAAGAUGAUAUACCAACUUCCAUAAUUAUUUCCAUAGCUGCGGUAACUGCAUUGAUUGUCACAUGUGCAUUUACCAUUUCAAUGGCAUGCACGAUUUGCAUGCGCAAGGAGAAACCAAAAGACCGACCCCAAUAUACCCUCGUUCCUUCACAUGCUAAAGUACCGGUAUAAAACGGUUUAUUUAAAAAAAAUAACAAACCAAUAUGACAGUUCCAAAGGCGAUGUGUGAAUUUUCCCUGAUUUUGACGGAUAAAAACUCAGCUGUAACAGUCGAGGUCAAAAUAUGGUACUGUUGAUGUGAAAAUUCACAUGAAAAAUACAAGUAAUACAGGAACAAUUAUAGAGAGAAUAUAUUUUACAUCUGC